CAAGAGGCGGUCACUGUCAUGAUGAAUUAUUUCAGAGUGGGAAUACCGCUGUUAA
rfam:Lactobacillus rhamnosus MTCC 5462 contig1705, whole genome shotgun sequence.